GAAGAAUCGACAAUGACACUAUCAUUUGUUUUGUAAUACUUUUCUCCCUCUGUAUUGUAUUAUAUUAACAAUAUUGAAUAGGAGAUUCUAAGUGUUAAAGUUGAAGACGACUCUCAUGACCAUGCACGCAGUCCAAUCGGCUUCACCCAUAUGAUAAUCGUGCGGCUGCGUCUGUCCUACUGACCACAUAACACCUAGACCCACAUACACCAAUCCAUCAUGUAAACAACUUAAAACUGCUAUGCUCUAAAUUUGCAAUAUUGAUGCCUUCAAGUGCUUUAUAUAUCAUUCAUCAUAAAAGGAAUCAAAUACACAGAUGGCAACAUGCAGUUAAUGAGGGACGAUGUCUAAAAACUAAAAACAUUUCCCUUCUUCCUCCAACCCACACGAGGCUUGUGUAGGUGGUGGUGUUAUGGCAACUUUGGACAAGAAGACCUUCACGAGCCUUCUACUUGUGCUAUGGCAAUUUUGGAAUGUGUGGAACAUGGAGCUGAUCCAAGGUCCCUCAAGAUGCUCUGAUUUGGGCAAGGACUCUCCAAAAAGAUUUUAGAGUGCAUAACCUCAUUCAUGCACCUAUGCUGCCCAUUAGACCAAGGACUGCCAAGUGGAAGCACCAAGAGAUACGAAACUGAAGGUCAAUAUGGACGCGCGACGGAUGGCAGAUGAGCGGAAGGCUGCUUAUGGUGUCGUCGUUGGAGGCAUGGAAAAGGACCGUGUUGAUCAAAUGUAGAGGUUCCUCCAUGCUAAAAGCAAGGACUUGACUACUUUCGGCCGUUGCUUUCUUGACCAUUGAGCUUGGUACCCAUAUGGAUGAUGAUGAUGAGGGUGGAAUUGUGGGCCUUCCUUCUCUCAUCAUCCGAAAGAUCAAAUGCCAGGAUAGGGGUAGUGUGGAAGGAGACAACCCAUACCGUUGUAAGCUCACACUUCUGUUUCCAAUGUGCCCAUAUCGCUCUCUUUCGUGUCUUGUGUUGCCUUAGAUGUUUUCACGUACGCAACCCUCCAUUUAGCUAGGUGUUCUGGAUAUUUUAUGAGCUACGAGCAUGGCUCUUACUUUAAGAUUUGUUUUUUAUUUUUAGCUUCUUGGCUUGUAUCCUUCAUCAUUGUUGAAUGAAAUCCGUCUUUUUAAGUGAAAAA